CUUGUCUUUCCUCAGACUUCACCUUUCCUUAAGAAGCCACUUCCUACGUGUAUUUCUCCUCACUACAUGGGUGGAUUUCACCCACUGGCCACCUCUUCCCUGUUUUCUUCCCUCUUCUAAGGCCUCACUGCCAGCCUUUUUCCUUUAAAUGUCUUCCUAUUUCCUAAUGCCACUCAAUCUGUGCUUUCUUCUGAAUUUGAACACCAAGAGGCAUCAGCAGUGACCAGCAACAAUGACGCCUAAGAGAACAGGUUAUUUGAGCUGGGAGAGACGUCAGUGAAACCAUCUUAGUAUUUGAUUGGCCUUUUGUUAAGAGAAUAGUGACUCUUUAAGCAGAGCCUGAGAGAGACACUGGCCCCUUUUUAGAGUGGACAGGUUAGGAUGGCAGGUCUUGAAAGGGCAAGGUUGGUAGCUGAAACUAGGUGUGCCACAUACCUGGACUGUCAGGGGGUCUGAGAGACAUCUCGUGUAGGAGUGGGUGGGGUAUCAGCUGAGAGUCCAGUGGCGCAGGAAGGGUGAGCAAGAUCCAACCCGAGGCUGAGGGGACCUGAUUGGUGGUGAGGUAAAGCUGGGGGUAGCUACGGAGAGAGCACACAGGACCUGGCAGGCAAAAGUCAGGAGCCAGGGGGCACCUGAGCAAGAAGCUGAGAAAGAUGUUCAGGAGGAGUCCGGAAGAGAAUUCAGAUACAGAGCCAAACAAGGUGGGAGACACACCAGCACGGGGCUGCGAGGCCCAGCAGCCUGGACACGGGCCAAGAAGUCAAGAACUGUUGACACCCACGUCUCCACUCUCCUACUGACACCAGCGACCACCCAGCCCAGCGCAACCAUAUGGCCUCUUGUUUUCCUGAUGUAUGAGCGUCCUGUUCACCAUUUCCAUGAAGGCAACCCUCGCUGCCUGGAAACUGGCGUUUUGACACCCAGCAUCAUAUUCUUCCUUGGUCUCUUUGAGGCACCUCCUGAAUGCUCACUUCAACACACUUGACCUGCAACAAGGCGUCAACUCUGCUCCCUAGAAUAUGAGAUAAGUGGCCUAGAGAAAAUCCAAAGCAGAGUAAGCAGCGUGUGUUGCUGAACGCACUCAGCUUCACAUAGCACUGAAAAGGCUCUUUAGCCACGAGGGCUUGUAGUGCAGUGUGUUGUGCUGAAGGUCCCAGGUGGACAGGGAGCCUCCCUCCGCAACUCUCCUUGGUCGAGACUAUAUACCUAUAUAAAUAGAGUAAUCACAUACACCUUUUAAGAAAGUUAUUUCUGAGACCGGUGGUAUCACGGUGAAUUGGCACUGUGCAGGAUAGAAUUAAACAGGAAAUGUGUAUGCCUCAUUUGUAGAAGUUAACAGCACUUUGGGUAGCCAAGAUACUCCCUCUGUUUGUGAAGCAGGGCCAGGCAACCCUGUUUUAUUUAACUACCUAACCCCAAUCUCCUUUCCUCCCAUUUUGUGUCCACAGCGUAAUUAAAUACUAAGGCUGUUGUCUCUUGACUCCUUUACCUCGUGAUGACCAUGAUCCCUGGAAGUCUCAGAUCCCCUGCCACAUGUUCCACUGGGUUUUAUAGGGUCUCCUGCAGCUGAUAAUUGCCUGUGACUAAAAAUAUUCCCCAGCCAUGGGUGACAGCGAUCUAGGAGUUGUGUUUUCCCCUUGGUCGAUGUCUCUUGACCUUUGCAGCAUGAUUGACUUUUUGUGCAACUUCUUGUUUCAUGUUAUAUCUUUGGCUGAUAUUUGCUGCCUUUUCUUAUAGCUCUCGAUUCUCUGUAAUAGGCACCUUGUUCUACGUUACAUUAAUACUUUUCUUUACUUAAAAAAGAAAACAGUAGUGUGUGAUGUCAGAUACAAAAGUCCUUCUCUUUCGUCUUGACCCUUAGCUUCACUUCCCAGAGGUAACCACUGUGAACAGAUUCUUAUACAGCUUCCAGAAGGGCUCUCUGUAUGAUCAAAACGCAUAUGCUUCUUGUUUUACACAAAUAUGAUCACACUGUACCCAUUGUACUCAACUGGCUUCUUUACUUUAAAUUGGGUCUUGGAACUCUUUCCACAUGACUACCUAGAGGAACACUGAACCUUUUAAUGGUGUAUUCUCUUCUACUGUGUGGGGUGCCAUCGACUAACUACUCUCAUUGAAGGCCAUUUUGGUUUCAUCUAGUUUUAUUCCUCACACAAAGAACCAAUGAGUGUUAGAUAUUGUAUUAUGCGUGCCUUUCCUUGCUGUAAGAGGAUACCUGUAGGAUGAAUUUCUAGCAGGCAAACUGCUGGGUUAAAGACUAUUCACAAUUCACAUUUUGAUAGGUAUUCCAAUUUGCUUUCUAAAAAAAGACACCAAUGGUAUGAUAAUGCAACAGGGCUUUUUUUUUUUUUUUUUUUUUUUUUUUUUUUUUUAGAGAAGCAAAAUUGCCAACCCAGUUAUCCAUACAUGGAAAACCAUCCAUACAUGGAAAAGCUGCUUUAAGCCUCAUUUCCAUCAAAGCCAGCUGAUUUAGGCUGGGUCAAGCCAGGAAGAAGUCUAUGCAUUUCUCUCUGCAUUUCUCUUGUGAACCCGAAUAUAUAAGAUUUGAGCAAUUCUGAGAGGUUUUGUAUUUUCUUUUCACUGUGGCCCCCCGAGUUCCUCUCAUCCCAAGGUCGAUUUGUUGUGUGUGUGCAUUGGGCAAGGGGGGGAGCAGCUUAGGGGUGAUGGUGAGGGGUCUCUGAGCCUUGCAGAGCUGGUGGGGUUCUGGGGUGAGCUGCCAGCUGUGCGCUCAGAGGCUGGGGAUCCCUGAGGUAUGCUGUUGUUAGGAUUUUCUUUUACCUUUCCAGUCAUCCUAUGCUUCAGAAUCAAGGUGCACCUGUUCUUCAGCCCUUUUUGACCUAUGUUGUCCACUAGGAAAUUAUUAAGGUAUUUAAUAGGGUCAUCAUCCUGGGGUUCCCUCCUCUGCAGCUCAAGGUGGGCUUUCUGCAGUACUUCCCAAGCUAUUUGGGGUGAAAGACUACUUUUUAAAAAUUUCCCAUUAGUUGUGAACCAGUACUUUUGUAAAAUACUAGAAAUACUGAAUUACUAGAGAAAUGAAAUAAAAAAUACACACAAAAUUCA
rnacentral:lncRNA from 12 species